UCUCCGUUGGUGAACCAGCGGAGGGAUCAUUACUGAGUUACCGCUCUAUAACCCUUUGUGAACAUACCUACAACUGUUGCUUCGGCGGGUAGGCCGUCCCCUGAAAAGGACGCCUCCCGGCCCGGACCGGACCCCCCGCGGGACCGGACCCGGCGCCCGCCGGAGGAUAACCAAACUCUAUUGUAACGACGUUUCUUCUGAGUGGCAUAAGCAAAAUAAUCAAAACUUUUAACAACGGAUCUCUUGGUUCUGGCAUCGAUGAAGAACGCAGCGAAAUGCGAUAAGUAAUGUGAAUUGCAGAAUUCAGUGAAUCAUCGAAUCUUUGAACGCACAUUGCGCCCGCCAGCAUUCUGGCGGGCAUGCCUGUUCGAGCGUCAUUUCAACCCUCAAGCUCUGCUUGGUGUUGGGGCUCUACGGUCGACGUAGGCCCUCAAAGGUAGUGGCGGACCCUCCCGGAGCCUCCUUUGCGUAGUAACAUUUCGUCUCGCACUGGGAUCCGGAGGGACUCUUGCCGUAAAACCCCCCAAUUUUCCAAAGGUUGACCUCGGAUCAGGUAGGAAUACCCGCUGAACUUAA
rnacentral:rRNA from 1 species